rnacentral:rRNA from 1 species
UGGGGAAUCUUGGACAAUGGGGGCAACCCUGAUCCAGCCAUGCCGCGUGAGUGAUGAAGGCCUUAGGGUCGUAAAGCUCUUUCGCCUGUGAAGAUAAUGACGGUAGCAGGUAAAGAAACCCCGGCUAACUCCGUGCCAGCAGCCGCGGUAAUACGGAGGGGGUUAGCGUUGUUCGGAAUUACUGGGCGUAAAGCGCACGUAGGCGGACCAGAAAGUUGGGGGUGAAAUCCCGGGGGCUCAACCCCGGAACUGCCUCCAAAACUAUUGGUCUAGAGUUCGAGAGAGGUGAGUGGAAUUCCAAGUGUAGAGGUGAAAUUCGUAGAUAUUUGGAGGAACACCAGUGGCGAAGGCGGCUCACUGGCUCGAUACUGACGCUGAGGUGCGAAAGUGUGGGGAGCAAAACAGGAUUAGAUACCCUGGUAGUCCACACCGUAAAACGAUGAAUGCCAGUCGUCGGGUAGCAUGCUAUUC